rnacentral:lncRNA from 1 species
AUGUUUGGAUCCUCUAUCCCAAUGCCAGGCAAGUCACUGCUGAAGACACAUCUGAUGAGAGGUGAAGAGAACUGUCCUGUAACUUGGUCUGCUUCAUCUUGGACUGGAGUUUUACAAAAGUUUCUGCAGGCUCGGGAAAAGUGCAAUUUUCUGAGAACCUGUUUGGCUUCAUCCAGUCUGCGCAGCUGGCUGGAAGAUCUGGAGAUUUUCACACUACACUGUUCACCUUUUAAGAUUUUGAUUUCUUCAAACAAAGAAAAAAUCCAGAAAAAGGUGGAAUGAAAUGGUUCAAAAUAGGAGCAGCACCUUUCCACUGCAUGCCAUUACACUGCUAAUGCUGAUAAGAAACUCCUGGUAAAUGCCAUUCUGAGUACUGGUGAUUUUUGUAUUAGUGUGAUCUGUCCAUAAUCAGUAUUAUGAAUAACAAUUUUUUACUUACUCUCUUUUUGUUUUCUAGUCAAAUAAAGACUUUGGGAGACCAAGCA